rnacentral:rRNA from 2 species
UAGAGUUUGAUCAUGGCUCAGGACGAACGCUGGCGGCGUGCCUAAUACAUGCAAGUCGAACGAACUCUGGUAUUGAUUGGUGCUUGCAUCAUGAUUUACAUUUGAGUGAGUGGCGAACUGGUGAGUAACACGUGGGAAACCUGCCCAGAAGCGGGGGAUAACACCUGGAAACAGAUGCUAAUACCGCAUAACAACUUGGACCGCAUGGUCCGAGCUUGAAAGAUGGCUUCGGCUAUCACUUUUGGAUGGUCCCGCGGCGUAUUAGCUAGAUGGUGGGGUAACGGCUCACCAUGGCAAUGAUACGUAGCCGACCUGAGAGGGUAAUCGGCCACAUUGGGACUGAGACACGGCCCAAACUCCUACGGGAGGCAGCAGUAGGGAAUCUUCCACAAUGGACGAAAGUCUGAUGGAGCAACGCCGCGUGAGUGAAGAAGGGUUUCGGCUCGUAAAACUCUGUUGUUAAAGAAGAACAUAUCUGAGAGUAACUGUUCAGGUAUUGACGGUAUUUAACCAGAAAGCCACGGCUAACUACGUGCCAGCAGCCGCGGUAAUACGUAGGUGGCAAGCGUUGUCCGGAUUUAUUGGGCGUAAAGCGAGCGCAGGCGGUUUUUUAAGUCUGAUGUGAAAGCCUUCGGCUCAACCGAAGAAGUGCAUCGGAAACUGGGAAACUUGAGUGCAGAAGAGGACAGUGGAACUCCAUGUGUAGCGGUGAAAUGCGUAGAUAUAUGGAAGAACACCAGUGGCGAAGGCGGCUGUCUGGUCUGUAACUGACGCUGAGGCUCGAAAGUAUGGGUAGCAAACAGGAUUAGAUACCCUGGUAGUCCAUACCGUAAACGAUGAAUGCUAAGUGUUGGAGGGUUUCCGCCCUUCAGUGCUGCAGCUAACGCAUUAAGCAUUCCGCCUGGGGAGUACGGCCGCAAGGCUGAAACUCAAAGGAAUUGACGGGGGCCCGCACAAGCGGUGGAGCAUGUGGUUUAAUUCGAAGCUACGCGAAGAACCUUACCAGGUCUUGACAUACUAUGCAAAUCUAAGAGAUUAGACGUUCCCUUCGGGGACAUGGAUACAGGUGGUGCAUGGUUGUCGUCAGCUCGUGUCGUGAGAUGUUGGGUUAAGUCCCGCAACGAGCGCAACCCUUAUUAUCAGUUGCCAGCAUUAAGUUGGGCACUCUGGUGAGACUGCCGGUGACAAACCGGAGGAAGGUGGGGAUGACGUCAAAUCAUCAUGCCCCUUAUGACCUGGGCUACACACGUGCUACAAUGGAUGGUACAACGAGUUGCGAACUCGCGAGAGUAAGCUAAUCUCUUAAAGCCAUUCUCAGUUCGGAUUGUAGGCUGCAACUCGCCUACAUGAAGUCGGAAUCGCUAGUAAUCGCGGAUCAGCAUGCCGCGGUGAAUACGUUCCCGGGCCUUGUACACACCGCCCGUCACACCAUGAGAGUUUGUAACACCCAAAGUCGGUGGGGUAACCUUUUAGGAACCAGCCGCCUAAGGUGGGACAGAUGAUUAGGGUGAAGUCGUAACAAGGUAGCCGUAGGAGAA